rnacentral:rRNA from 1 species
GCCCAGUGAACAAUUAAACGGCCGCGGUACCCUAACCGUGCAAAGGUAGCAUAAUCAUUUGUCUAUUAACUGUAGACCUGUAUGAAAGGCAAAAUGAGGGUUUAACUGUCUCUUAUGAUAAAUCUAUUAAACUGAUCUCCCAGUAAAAAAGCUGGGAUACUCCCAUAAGACCAGAAGACCCUGUGAAGCUUUAACUAAACUAUUAAACCAAAUAAUAACUACUUUAGGUUGGGGCGACCUUGGAAAAAAAAAGAACUUCCAACAUAACAAAUAAUCACCAAGGCCUACAAGCCAAUUAACGACCCAGUAACACUGAUAAUCGAACUAAGUUACUCCAGGGAUAACAGCGCCAUCUUCUUCAAGAGCCCAUAUCAAAAAGAAGGUUUACGACCUCGAUGUUGGAUCAGGACACCCCAAUGGUGCAACCGCUAUUAAAGGUUCGUUUGUUCAACGAUUAAUGUCCUACGUGAU